CGAUCAUCUUAAGUAAAAGUUACGAUCAUCGUUGAUAAAAAUAAAUAACAGUUACGAUCAUCAUCGUGAUUUUUUGUUUCUCGAUUUUCAUUCUUGUUGUUGCUUUUCCAUCCGGUCCGAAAAAAUAUUUCAAUGGCAAUGCUUAUAAAGAUGUUUCUUGACAUAAUACAAAUCUGAAAAUAAGCUGUUAAAGUGGAGAAAUCAGCCUU
rnacentral:lncRNA from 1 species